rnacentral:rRNA from 1 species
UAUCUCUGUAGAGUCUGCAUAUCAAUAAGCGGAGGAAAAGAAACUAACAAGGAUUCCCUUAGUAACGGCGAGUGAAGCGGGAAGAGCUCAAAUUUGAAAUCUUCAAGGUUCUACCUUGACGAAUUGUAGUUUAAAGAAGUGUUUUCUGUUAGAUGAGUAGCAAAAGUUCCUUGGAAUGGGACAUCAUAGAGGGUGAGAAUCCCGUAUUUGGUUAUUCAUUCUAGCUUUGUGAUACACUUUCAAAGAGUCGGAUUGUUUGGGAAUGCAGUCCAAAAUGGGUGGUAAAUUUCAUCUAAAGCUAAAUAUUGGCGAGAGACCGAUAGCGAACAAGUACCGUGAGGGAAAGAUGAAAAGAACUUUGAAAAGAGAGUUAAACAGUACGUGAAAUUGUCAAAAGGGAAGCGUUUGACACCAGUGUUGUUUUUCCGUAAAUCAAUUACGAAUGGCUUGAUUCUGUGUUGUAUUGACCUUAUCAGCUUUCUUCACUUUUUUCGAGUCUUUCUUAAUGCACUUUUCGGUUAACAAGUCAACAUCAAUUUCUUUUGUUGUAAAAGAGUAUUCGGAAGGUGGCUUUCUUUUCGGAGAAAGUGUUUAUAGCCCUAUACUUCUACAAUCGGAGAGAUUGAGGUCUGCAGCGUAGAUCCUUCGGGGUUAGAUACACUUGUGCUAAGUUGUAGCUUUUCAUAGACAACUUGUUGACUAUGUUUAGUCAUGCGGCUUACUCGCUUGUGCUAUUUUACCUACGCUUAGGAUGUUGACUGAUAUGUAGUCGUA